AGGUGAUGCAGAGUAGUUGCUGUUAGUUGCGGUACACUUGAGUCUUAGGUGCUCUGAUACGUAACGGGAUGGGGAUCUUUAUUGUUUUCCAUAUGUUACGUGAUUUAUUAUGACUUUUAUGUUGAAGACUGUUUAAACUGGAUUUUUAUUAAGUUAUUUAAGUUGAGGCCGUCGUGCCAACAUGAUGUUUUAUUAAGAUAUUUU
rnacentral:lncRNA from 1 species